rnacentral:lncRNA from 1 species
UUUUUUUUUUUUCUUCCGCCAACUUUUUUUUCCUUCACUAUUUUUUUGUUUCGCAAGAUGUCGCUUAGAUAUAUGGUAUAUGAUAUGGAACAGUUGAUAUGCUUCUGAAACUGACACCGCAUAACAAAAACCUUUACCAUGUAAGAGUUAUCUCCCCGAACACUGUUUUUCUUGUUAUCUCUAAGGCUUUGCAACCGUUUAAGAAACCGACAAAUUUAUUUUUCCAAAUUGCUCGUUAUAUCCUCAGGAUGUUCUGUUUUUACCGAAGCUAUCCGGAGACUCCAUAUGAGCGUUAUCCCCCCUUUUGUAUAUGAUAUAAGUGAUAUGCAUUUCUAACUGGUAAACCAUAAGUGAUAGAGACCUAGGGUCUUUUGAUUUAAGAUCCUUGGUCCAAAAAAAUGAAAAUUAGGUCAAGGUCAAAGGUCAAAUUCUAAAUUUUGAUUUUGGCUUAUUUUCACUUAUUUUCAUUAACCUUAUAAGAUAUCGACAAAUUAUUUUUCCUAAAUUGUUAGUUGCGACAUGUCGUAACAUAUAAAUUUUGGUUGCAAGGGUGCGUAGACAAUAAAUGGGAGUUUACCCCUCUUAUAUUUAGAAUUAUGCGUAAAGUGAUAUUACUCAUGAACCAUACAUAUUAAGGAACUAGUGUCUUUUGAUUAGAGAUGUUUAGUCUAUGAUCUUGAAAUUGAGGUCAAGGUCAUAGGUUAAUUGGACGUUCUAGAUUUUGACCUUUGCUCGAAAUUCAUAUUUUUACAUCAUAAAGCCAUAGGAACUGACAUUUUCAACUGAAUUUUAAUAUUUUCAUAUCAAAAUAGAUCCUUUUUGGUUGAAAGACCUUCAAUUGUUCACUGAACAAUUGGUUUUUAAUUAUAUAUUUAUUUGUAUUAAAACUUGACCAACUUCUUAAAAUCUGACGGACCGUACGCGAACAGUCCGACGUAUGCCGCGUAUUUUGAAAAAGUACGCGUACGGUACAAAUACUCAUAUGGUCUGGAACAUAGACAUCUAUCUAUAUUGUUGAAAACUAUACUAUACUAUGUUGCCUUCUGGAUGUCCUUAGUUUGUCUUUGUCAUUUGGUUGCUGUCUUAUUAACGUAUAACCUACAUUUCCAGCAGUUUUGUAUAGCUAAAACGGCUAAUGUGUAUAGAAUAAUUGUCUUUCUUCCCUAAAUAAUAUGCCUAAAAGAAGAAGGACCGAGGAGAGAUGUGCACAGGCACUUGUUUCGAUCUAUCAAUAGGAAGGUCGACUAUCCAUAUAUAUAUUACAUAUUGAUAGUCGACCUUCCCAUUGAUAGAAACAGGUGCAUGUGGCGAUGUCCCUAAAUAAAAAAUAAAGUAAACAGAAAAAAAAUGCUUCACUUUUCAAUCUUUAACUUCCCCUCCCGCUUCCAAAUUUUUUCUACUGUAUUAAUUUUUGAAGACAUGUCGCAUCUACACAAAGCCUGUCUUAUUGAUCUGCAGCUUACCCCUAUUAGUUUUGGUAUAUGUGAUCUACAUUAAAUUCGAUUCAAAAAUAGUCAC